CCUACGGGAGGCUGCAGUGGGGGAUAUUGCACAAUGCGGGAAACCCUGAUGCAGCAACGCCGCGUGUGGGAAGAAGGUUUUCGGAUUGUAAACCACUGUUCUUGGUGAAGAUAAUGACGGUAACCAAGGAGAAAGCUCCGGCUAACUACGCGCCAGCAGCCGCGGUAAUACGUAUGGAGAAAGCGUUGUCCGGAUUUACGGGGUGGAAAGGGUGCGUAGGCGGUCGUGCAAGUCAGACGUGAAAACCACAGGCUCAACCUGUGGACUGCGUGUGAAACUGUGGGGCUUGAGUGAAGUAGAGGUAGGCGGAAUUCCCGGUGUAGGGGGGAAAUGCGUAGAGAUCGGGAGGAACACCAGUGGGGAAGGCGGCCUACUGGGCUUUAACUGACGCUGAGGCACGAAAGCAUGGGUAGCAAACAGGAUUAGAUAACCGAGUAGUC
rnacentral:rRNA from 1 species